rnacentral:piRNA from 1 species
UGGACAGACAGACAUACUGCCUCAGCUUCC